rnacentral:rRNA from 1 species
UACGGAGGAUGCAAGCGUUAUCCGGAAUUAUUGGGCGUAAAGCGUCCGCAGGUGGAAUUUCAAGUCUGCUGUCAAAGACUGUAGCUUAACUACGGAAAGGCAGUGGAAACUGAUUUACUAGAGGGCAGUAGGGGUAGCGGGAAUUCCCAGUGUAGCGGUGAAAUGCGUAGAGAUUGGGAAGAACAUCGGUGGCGAAAGCGCGCUACUGGGCUGAACCUGACACUGAGGGACGAAAGCUAGGGGAGCGAAA